rnacentral:rRNA from 1 species
CCUACGGGUGGCAGCAGUGGGGAAUAUUGGACAAUGGGGGGAACCCUGAUCCAGCGACGCCGCGGGAGUGAAGAAGUAUUUCGGUAUGUAAAGCUCUAUCAGCAGGGACGAAAGAAAUGACGGUACCUGACUAAGAAGCCCCGGCUAACUACGUGCCAGCACCCGCGGUAAUACGUAGGGGGCAAGCGUUAUCCGGAUUUACUGGGUGUAAAGGGAGCGUAGACGGCGAUGCAAGUCUGACGUGAAAGGCGGGGGCCCAACCCCCGGACUGCUUUGGAAACUGUAUGGCUGGAGUGCAGGAGAGGUGAGUGGAAUGCCUAGUGUAGCGGUGAAAUGCGUAGAUAUUAGGAGGAACACCAGUGGCGAAGGCGGCCUGCUGGGCUUUUACUGACGCUGAGGCUCGAAAGUGUGGGGAGCAAACAGGAUUAGAUACCCCUGUAGUC